GCGGGAUCCACCUUCGGGUGGUGAGAGCGGCGCACGGGUGAGUAACGCGUAUGCAACCUGCCUUUAACAGGGGAAUAGCCCAGGGAAACUUGGAUUAGUACCUCAUAACAUUGCGAAAUGGCAUCAUUUUGCAAUUAAAGCUCCGGCGGUUAAAGAUGGGCAUGCGUGACAUUAGUUAGUUGGUGAGGUAACGGCUCACCAAGACUACGAUGUCUAGGGGUUCUGAGAGGAUGAUCCCCCACACUGGUACUGAGACACGGACCAGACUCCUACGGGAGGCAGCAGUGAGGAAUAUUGGUCAAUGGGCGCAAGCCUGAACCAGCCAUCCCGCGUGAAGGAUGACGGCCCUAUGGGUUGUAAACUUCUUUUCUGCACCAAGAAACUUACCCUCGUGAGGGUAGCUGACGGUAGUGCAGGAAUAAGGACCGGCUAACUCCGUGCCAGCAGCCGCGGUAAUACGGAGGGUCCAAGCGUUAUCCGGAUUUAUUGGGUUUAAAGGGUGCGUAGGCGGAUUUGUAAGUCAGUGGUGAAAUCCUGCAGCUUAACUGUAGAACUGCCAUUGAUACUGCUAGUCUUGAAUAUAGUUGAGGUAGGCGGAAUGAGUAGUGUAGCGGUGAAAU
rnacentral:rRNA from 1 species